rnacentral:lncRNA from 1 species
CAGCCAGUUCCUGCCCCUGUGGUCGAAGUGUCCCAGGUUGGGGGGCAGAGAAGCCCCUAAAAUAGUUUCAAAGAAUCUACAACAAACUGUAAAGAACUUUGUUUUGUUUUGCCAGUCAAGAUUUAGAAUUCAGACUUUGGCUGUGGCGAAGGUCAGGAUUAAUGUUUUCUUUUCCAUGGGCCUUUAGCCCACUGAGAAAGUUUGGUAAAGGGCUGCUACUGAGGUCCUGAAAGCCCCAGGUAAACUGGUUACAAUUCUUUUGUCAGCUGCUUAGUAUCUAACACCCAGGUUCUACCUUCUCUCCAUCCUUUUGUUAUUAGUUGUUACUGGAAGCCUAGUGCCAUUUAGAGGAUGGGUCUCUUGAGCGAUAAAGCCACUGAGCUGGCACUAAAGGAAGGUACUCCUUAAGAGAAAAUCUAAGUCCAGAGAGACAGCCGGUAGCAGAUAGGCUGCCCCUCUGCUCACUUUUCUGUUUCACAGACACAAGGCCUUUUUGUCCCAAGAAAGCCUCCUGGCUUAGCUGUGUGACUAAAUGCUAUUUGCCCUCUUCAGUGGACCUCUAUUCUCAAGAUUCCCUUGUUUUCUCACCAUCCCAUUUGAGAUGCUUGUUAGUAACUGUUACAGGUCUUCUUUACCACCGAGGAAAGACGGAAUCCUACUAGAGGCCAGAAAAAGUGUUCCAGAGAUGGAUAGAAGGCCCUCACUUCUGCCUGCUCUCUUCAGACGCCUAAAGGUAGGGAGUGCCAGGUCUGCUGCCAGGCUCCAAGGGUGGGUCUCUGAGGGGCUAGAAAAUGCCCCACCAAUCUGGCUAAGAUAAAGAAAGGAUAUGAAAAAAAAGUUACAAAAAUUUGAAGGGUUAAGUUAAGUUGCUGAGAGUUAGUGUAAGUUACAGAGAAAGUAAGGUUAAAAAAGAAAGAGGUAAAAAG